GCAGCUAUGUCCUGUGGAUGAAACAACCCGUCCCUUGUUUCUAUCGAGUACCGUCAUCUUGUGGUCCUAUCUUUCUCUCCUCAUUUACCUUCAAACCUGCUGAACAAAAAUAAAUCUACAAACCCUCUCCGGAAACCAUCAAAGAACAAUCACGAUUCUCUAUCCGUGAUUAGAGAAGAGCAAAGAUAAACCCUUGCCUCUUCUGAAUCCAGUAAAUUAAAUCAGUCUAUUCUCCUAACAGAUCUAUUCGAGGUCGUCUUCUUCUUCUUCAAAGGGUUUUGUAGUUAAGAACUUAUCUUCAAUGGGUCGGGUGGUGAUAUGAAUGAUGAUGAUAUUAUUGGAGGUGAUCAUGGUGGUUAGUCGUAACAUUAAAAAAUUAUUGAAGGGUUGCAUGGCCUGCAUUAAGCAAAGUCGUCGAUAAGAUUAUUUUUGCAGGAUAUCUUAAUUACUUUCUUUUAUCAGUUUUUUGCAUUUUCAAAUUUCAGUUUUUUCCCUUCUAGGAAGCCCCGAUAUCCAUCAAUUUUACAUAAUAAUAAUAGUUACUACUCGACUAACAAGAUUAAACACCAAUCCUGUAUCCGGUAGGAGAAUAAACCGAUAAAAGAGAUUUAGAAAAAAAGCGGGAGCAUCAUUAGUCUUUUGUCAUUAAUGGUCGAAAGAAUUCGCUGGAAAUAUUUGUCUGGUAGGAGUGGGAUCGUUUCUUCUUUGUUACUUACCUGGGUUAUCGAAGUUGGUGCUUUUGGAGAUUGGGUCAGUGGAGAUAUGUACAAUCGUGUAUUUGGUAGUAGUCCUGUUGGUUUGUCUUGUGCUGGAUGGAGCUUGGUUGGGUGGUAUCAGCUGUCAUGAUUAUUCAGGUCAACAGUCGUUGAUGUCAAAACUGGUGGGAGCAUAGAUAACAAGUAUGCAUUCAAGGUCUUAGUGCUUAUACUUCUAAUAAAGUGUGAAGACCCAUCUCCUUUGAUUAGCGCCCUCGAGAUUUUAAUCGUAAUGAAAUGACUUUUCUGAGAAGAUGAAGGAACUUGCAAUAAUACCUUCUACAGUACUGUCGGAAACCCUGUUCCUUAACAAGUUAAUCAGAGAUGUUUUCCCUAAUCAGAGAUGUUUGCCCAAGUUCAUAGGUAACAAGGCAUGCGAUUCUGAGUUGUGCGGCUCUGUUCGUCAUCAGAUAGUUUUAUCAUUUUUUUGGUUUUCACGUAUCUUUAAGAAAACUUAGAACUUGUAUUGGCGCUUAUUCAGGUUUUGUUUACAAUUUUUUGGUGAUUCUGAAUCCAAGUGUCAACUGAAAUCAGCUAUAAUCAGUGUGAUGUAGUAUAAUGAAUUCUCACUUUAAUCGAAUGGAGAAUAAUUUUAAAUUAAGAAUUCGGGUUGUAUUUGAAUGUAAAUUAAAUUUUA